AUGGAACAUUUUAGCUGUGAAGUCCCUGAGCCUCCAAGGGAAAGGCUGCAAGGGGGUGCUGGAACUGAGCCACCAUCACUGAGAUCCAAGGAGCCUCAAACAAAAGGAAGGCAAAAUUCAGGAAAAAUAUUGACCAUAUGUGAUCCUUCAGCCAACAUAAUCCACUGUCCUCCAUCUCAUUGUGCAAAGCUCAUCAGGAACUAAACGAGACAGUAAUAUCACAAUAAU